GCGGAAGGAGCUGGGCUUUCUUUUGCGCGCGGCCGACGAUGGAGGAGGGUUCUCGAGGCACCGUCGCCGAACGGCCCCGGCGGCAGCGUCUGCGGGCCAGUCGCUGGGCUCUUCGAGCAGAGCCUGUGACGUGAAGAUGAAUGAAGGUUGUCCUGUUUUCCAGAAACCACUUAGAGGAUGGCUGUGAUAAAACACUAGGAACGUAACUGCAUGUAACGAGAGGCAUGCAAUUGGAAGGAAAAAUGAAGAAUUGGUCAAGAAGAGAUGAAUCGAAACAUGUUGAAAAUUAAUAUUUUAUUUAACAUUGAUUACCUCACAAUAAGUUAUAUUUUUCUAUAUAACAAACAUAUAUUUUUCUAUAUAACUUAUUGUGAGGUAAUCAAUAAGUUAUAUAGAAAAAUAUAUGUUUGAAUACUUACAAUUGCUAGGCAAUAAAGAAUUAAUCUUUAAAAUAUAUCAAAUGUUUAAACAGUUCGAUUCUUAUAAUUACUAGUCAGACUGUUUUUUAACAUACUUUAAGGAUAGUAUGUUCUUGUCAAUAACUAGCUCAUUUGUGGAAUGACAACCUUUGAGGGGGCAGUCAGCUGGGGAAACAGUCCAGUACCUCCAGUUCUCCUGCCUUUUCUUGCCUUAGGGGAUUUCAGCAAACUAGAUAACCAUGGACACCUCCCCUUAAGAACCUGCUACUAUACCUAAAAACGAGUAUUUAGAAUCUCCUAACCACCUUAAUGAAUUAUCCCUUACAAGUAAAGAUUAUACCUGUGACCUACAGAGUUUAAGAUUAAAUCUUAUUUUAUUCUUUGUUUUUACCUCUGAAUAAAAAAAGUAAUCCUGA